GCCCUAAUGGCGCAAUGGAUAGCGCGUUGGACUUCUAAUCCAGAGGUUAUGGGUUUGAGUCCCAUCUAGGGUU